UCCAGACUCCUACGGGAGGCAGCAGUGGGGAAUAUUGCACAAUGGGGGGAACCCUGAUGCAGCGACGCCGCGUGAGUGAAGAAGUAUUUCGGUAUGUAAAGCUCUAUCAGCAGGGAAGAUAAUGACGGUACCUGACUAAGAAGCCCCGGCUAACUACGUGCCAGCAGCCGCGGUAAUACGUAGGGGGCAAGCGUUAUCCGGAUUUACUGGGUGUAAAGGGUGCGUAGGUGGCAGGGCAAGUCAGAUGUGAAAGCCCGGGGCCCAACCCCGGUACUGCAUUUGAAACUGUCCGGCUGGAGUGCAGGAGAGGUAAGCGGAAUUCCUAGUGUAGCGGUGAAAUGCGUAGAUAUUAGGAGGAACACCAGUGGCGAAGGCGGCUUACUGGACUGUAACUGACACUGAGGCUCGAAAGCGUGGGGAGCAAACAGGAUUAGAUACCCCCGUAC
rnacentral:rRNA from 1 species